rnacentral:rRNA from 1 species
AAUGAACGCUGGCGGCGCGCCUAAUACAUGCAAGUCGAGCGAGAAGACGUAGCAAUACGUUUGUAAAGCGGCGAACGGGUGAGGAAUACAUGGGUAACCUACCCUCGAGUGGGGAAUAACUAGCCGAAAGGUUAGCUAAUACCGCGUACGCUUCUUGGACUUCGGUUCAGGGAGGAAAGCGAUACCGUGGGUAUCGCGCUCUUGGAUGGGCUCAUGUCCUAUCAGCUUGUUGGUGAGGUAACGGCUCACCAAGGCGACGACGGGUAGCUGGUCUGAGAGGAUGGCCAGCCACAUUGGGACUGAGACACGGCCCAGACUCCUACGGGAGGCAGCAGUGGGGAAUCUUGGACAAUGGGCGCAAGCCUGAUCCAGCCAUGCCGCGUGAGUGAAGAAGGCCUUAGGGUUGUAAAGCUCUUUUUACCAGGGACGAUAAUGACGGUACCUGGAGAAUAAGCCCCGGCAAACUUCGUGCCAGCCGCCGCGGUAAC